rnacentral:tmRNA from 2 species
CCCCUUUCGCGGGACGGGGAGAGCGCCUAUAUUCGGAUUGUCGUCGCAAGGCGACUAUGGCGAUAAAUGAUUGUCAGAAUAAACCCUUCGGACCCGGGGGCGGUACCCGGCGCCUCCACCGAAGCCCAGCGCGCGCGAAGCUGGGUUUCGGUGGGGGCGAAACAGGAUCGACGGGGGCGUAAAAGGCAAUUUUUCGCUCGGCAUGGUUCCGCCGUUAUCGGGCCAAAACAGUAGUUGCGAAUGACAACUCUGCUAUGGAAGUCCGUGCGGCCGCGUAAUGCGGCUUAAGGAUUCCGAUCCAAGUCCUGGCGGUUAGCGUCGUCAGGCGGGGCCCGGAGGCGCCUGGCAACAGAAGCCUCCACU